AGCGAACGCUGGCGGCAUGCUUUACACAUGCAAGUCGAACGGCAGCACGGGUGCUUGCACCUGGUGGCGAGUGGCGAACGGGUGAGUAAUGCGUCGGAACGCACCGAGUAAUGGGGGAUAACGCUUCGAAAGGAGUGCUAAUACCGCAUACGCUCUGAGGAGGAAAGCAGGGGAUCGUAAGACCUUGCGUUAUUCGAGCGGCCGACGUCGGAUUAGCUAGUUGGUGGGGUAAAGGCCCACCAAGGCGACGAUCCGUAGCGGGUCUGAGAGGAUGAGCCGCCACACUGGGACGGGGACACGGCCCAGACGCCGACGGGGGGCAGCAGUGGGGAAUUUUGGACAAUGGGCGAAAGCCUGAUUCAGCCAUGCCGCGUGUCUGAAGAAGGCCUUCGGGUUGUAAAGGACUUUUGUCAGGGAGCAAAUGCUGGGCGCUAAUAUCGCCCGGAGCUGAGAGUACCUGAAGAAUAAGCACCGGCUAACUACGUGCCAGCCGCCGCCGUAAUAC
rnacentral:rRNA from 1 species